GACGAACGCUGGCGGCGUGCUUAACACAUGCAAGUCGAACGGAAAGGCCCCCUUGUGGGGUACUCGAGUGGCGAACGGGUGAGUAACACGUGAGUAACCUACCCUUGACUUUGGGAUAACUUCAGGAAACUGGGGCUAAUACCGGAUAGGAGCUCCUGCUGCAUGGUGGGGGUUGGAAAGUUUCGGCGGUUGGGGAUGGACUCGCGGCUUAUCAGCUUGUUGGUGGGGUAGUGGCUCACCAAGGCUUUGACGGGUAGCCGGCCUGAGAGGGUGACCGGCCACAUUGGGACUGGGAUACGGCCCAGACCCCUACGGGGGGCAGGAGGGGGGAAUAUUGCAAAAGGGGCGGAAGCCUGAUGCAGCAACGCCGCGUGCGGGAUGACGGCCUUCGGGUUGUAAACCGCUUUCGCCUGUGACGAAGGGUGAGUGACGGUAAGGGGUAAAGAAGCACCGGCUAACUACGU
rnacentral:rRNA from 1 species